rnacentral:rRNA from 1 species
UACAGAGAAUGCAAGCGUUAUCCGGAAUGAUUGGGCGUAAAGCGUCUGUAGGUGGCUUUUUAAGUCCGCCGUCAAAUCCCAGGGCUCAACUCUGGACAGGCGGUGGAAACUACCAAGCUGGAGUACGGUAGGGGCAGAGGGAAUUUCCGGUGGAGCGGUGAAAUUCGUAGAUAUCGGGAGGAACACCGGUGGCGAAGGCGGCGACCUGGGUAGAUACUGACGCUGAGGCGCGAAAGCGUGGGGAGCAAACAGG